rnacentral:rRNA from 1 species
GUGAACGCUGGCGGCGUGGAUAAGACAUGCAAGUCGAUCGUGAGCCUGCCGCAAGGCAGGUCGAACGAGGCAAACGAGGUAGUAACACGUAGGUACAUCCCCCGGAGUCGGGCAUAUACCGCCGAAAGGCGGAGCAAUUCCCGAUGGUCUCUAUGGAGUAAAGAUUUAUCGCUCCGGGAGUGGCCUGCGUAAUAUCAGCUAGUUGGUAGGGUAACGGCCUACCAAGGCUAUGACGUUUAGGAGGGCUGAGAGGCUGACCCCCACCGAUCGCACUGAGACACGGGCGAUACCUCUACGGAGGGCUGCAGUCGAGAAUAUUCCGCAAUGGACGAAAGUCUGACGGAGCGACGCCGCGUGCAGGAUGAAGUCCUUCGGGACGUAAACUGCUUUUGUCGGUGAUGACUAUUCGACAGUACCCGAAGAAUAAGGGGCUCCUAACUCUGU